rnacentral:rRNA from 1 species
AACGAACGCUGGCGGCAGGCCUAACACAUGCAAGUCGAACGCACCGCAAGGUGAGUGGCGCACGGGUGAGUAACACGUGGGAAUGUACCCUUUGGUUCGGAAUAACGUUUGGAAACGAACGGUAAUACCGGAUGAGCCCUGUGGGGGAAAGAUUUAUCGCCAAAGGAGCAGCCCGCGUCUGAUGAGCUAGUUGGUGGGGUAAAGGCCUACCAAGGCGACGAUCAGUAGCUGGUCUGAGAGGAUGAUCAGCCACACUGGGACUGAGACACGGCCCAGACUCCUACGGGAGGCAGCAGUGGGGAAUAUUGGACAAUGGGCGAAAGCCUGAUCCAGCCAUGCCGCGUGAGUGAUGAAGGCCUUCGGGUUGUAAAGCUCUUUCGCACGCGACGAUGAUGACGGUAGCGUGAGAAGAAGCCCCGGCUAACUUCGUGCCAGCCGCCGCCGUAAUAC